rnacentral:lncRNA from 1 species
GCAAGAUGGGUGUAAAUCUUUCUAGAGCACAGCUGAAAAGUUAAAUGGCUUGUCCUAGAGUACACAGCUCAGCAGAGCCAAGAGUAAAAUGGAAAUCCAGUGCUUUUCCAUCUAUGCUGCAGUGAACCUCCACUAGAGUUUUAUGCAAGUCCAACCUCCCAGCAAUAGGGAGAAAAAGCAAUUAUAGCCUUUCUUGAUAUUUAACCUAGCUAAAAACUUCAGCCCAGAGAAAAUCUUCCAAAAGUCCAAGACAGACAGGCACUUCUACCGCUCACCACCCUCCAAAAGGGACUGAGCCCUAAGCUUGUGCAGUGAUUAAUGCUUUCCAUGUCUUUUCCAUCCGCCUGCAGUUAUGCUACAAGAUCUCUGGGUAAAGGACUAGCCAGGUCUGUCUAACACAUACUUUUUGGUGUGACUUAACAGACUGGUUUCUACCACUUUCAGCCUGAAGUGACAGUGCUUUUAAAUGUUGGUUGCAGGCAGGGGACUAUUGCCCCCUCCCAAGCACUUCAACUUCCUUGGCUUCUGUC